CACCCACUGGAGUGCAGCUGAGGGAGUCAGCCGUGAGCCGCUGGAGUGCAGGGGAGGGAGCCGGCCGUGAGCCCCUGGUGCAGGGGAGGGAGACGGCUGUGAGACGCUGGAGUGCAGGUGGAGUCUCACUCUGUUGCCCAGGCUGGAGUGCAGUGGCGUGAUCUCGGCUCACAGCAACCUCUGUGUCCCGGGUUCAAGAAAUGACCAGAACCUGAAAUUUAUAUUUAAAGGGGAAGCAGAGUGUAAAAGUUUGAAAAAUUUGUAGCCCACCCAUGUGGUGGAAAAGAAAACCCCAUUUUCAAGGCUCAUAGGUGAAGAGACUUUUGCCUUGUCUGAGAUGAGACUUUGGACUUUGGAGUUUUGAGUUAAUGCUGUAAUGAGUUAAGACUGUGAAUUAUUGGGAAGUCAUGAUUGUACUUUUGCAAUGUGAGGAGGACACGAGAUUUGGAGGGGUCAGGGGUGAAAUAAUAUGGUUUAGAUCUGUGUCCUCACCCAAAUCUCAUGUUAAAUUGUAGUCCCCAGUGUUGGAGAUGGGGACUGAUGGGAGGUAAUUAGAUCAUGAGGGCGAAAUUCUCAUCAAUGCUUUAGGACCGUCUCCUCUGUGCUAUUCUCAUGAUAGAGUUCUCACAAGAUCUGGUUGUUUAAAAGUAUGUGGCACUUCCCCACCUCCCACCACCACCACCACCACCACCACCAUUCUCCUACUCCAGCCAUGUAAGAAGCACUUGCUUCCCCUUCACCUUCCACCAUGAUUGUAAGUUUCCUGAGGACCCCCAGAUGCAGAAGCUGCUAUACUUCCUGUACAGCCUGUAGAACUGUGAGCCAAUUAAACCUCUUUUCUUAUAAACU
rnacentral:lncRNA from 1 species